rnacentral:rRNA from 1 species
CCUACGGGAGGCAGCAGUGAGGAAUAUUGGUCAAUGGACGAGAGUCUGAACCAGCCAAGUCGCGUGAAGGAUGAAUGUUCUAUGGGUUGUAAACUUCUUUUAUAUGGGAAUAAAAUGAUGCACGUGUGCCUGUUUGUAUGUACCAUAUGAAUAAGCAUCGGCUAACUCCGUGCCAGCAGCCGCGGUAAUACGGAGGAUGCGAGCGUUAUCCGGAUUUAUUGGGUUUAAAGGGGGCGUAGGUGGUUUGUUAAGUCAGCUGUGAAAGUUUGGGGCUCAACCAUAAAAUUGCAGUUGAAACUGGCUGUCUUGAGUACAGGAGAGGUAGGCGGAAUGCGUGGUGUAGCGGUGAAAUGCUGAGAUAUCGCGAAGAACUCCGAUUGCGAAGGCAGUUUACUGGACUACAACUGACGCUGAGGCACGAAAGUGUGGGUAUCAAACAGGAUUAGAUACCCGUGUAGUC